UCAAUCCUUGGAUCUAGGGCUGAACAGGUUCUAAAUCAGCAGCACAAGCAUCCUGCCUCUAUGGAUAUGCACAGGGCCGAUUUGGAUAGAUCCUCUGGACUCCUGUUUGCUUGAACUAAAGGCCUGAAUAGGCUUGAGCCAAGCUUGGAUAGGGAUCAACCCUUGAAUUUUUUUAAUCUUUCUUUCUUGAUUUUUGAAGAAACUAAGAACCUUUCUUGAUCCCUCAACUAAUCAAAAAGAAUAACAACCAAGAUGUUGAGAUUUGAUGUCUUGAUAUUCGAUCCAUAUUAAGUCCACAACG
rnacentral:lncRNA from 1 species